rnacentral:lncRNA from 1 species
UUUUCAAUAACAAAACCAUGAAGAAUAUCAGUGCAUCAAGGCUCUCAACCAAAAACGGAAGUUGCGACACAAAAAAGUUCGGUACAAACAAUGGUUUAUUGAUGUUUUCUUUCGCAUGAAUCAGAUCGAUCCAUAGUGCACAUGUGUACUAAUUGGCCCGAUCUUACACGCCUGAACGUCUUGAGCACAAGAAUACUUUCUACCCAUUACUUGUAUGGCGUUCAAACAUCGCAGCAGCAAAUGCCACCACCAUCCGGUACGCAGUGGGCUUUAUUGUGUCCAAAAAACUUGCAGUGAUUCAGGCACGCCUCUUCGGAUGCAUGAUCUUUGUGGCAGCUUACAAAAUGAAUACAGUAAUCGAUGAUGGGGAUUGGUUUUUUAUCUACACACGUUGAGGUAUAGCAGUGUAAGCACGUAUAAAUCUACUUGCUUGGAUUAGUUUGAAAUACAUAUACAAAGGUGUGCUCAUAUCAUAUACUAAAAUGAAUAGGAAAAUAGAUAAACAAACGGAUGUACCUGCGUGACAUGAUAAUAGAGUGGUAGACAUCAUCACAAGAGCUACCAAGCAUAGAGCUGUUGCCGUGUUCUUGAUAUGUGCCAUGAGAGAUGGUUUGUAUUUUAUUUUGUUCAAGACAGGUUGAC